AUACGGAGGGUGCAAGCGUUGUUCGGAAUUAUUGGGCGUAAAGCGCGUGUAGGCGGUCUUUUAAGUCUGAUGUGAAAGCCCCGGGCUCAACCUGGGAAGUGCAUUGGAAACUGGGAGACUUGAGUACGGGAGAGGAGAGUGGAAUUCCUAGUGUAGGAGUGAAAUCCGUAGAUAUUAGGAGGAACACCGGUGGCGAAGGCGGCUCUCUGGACGAUGUCUGACACUGAGGCGACG
rnacentral:rRNA from 1 species